UAUGCACUACAACCGCAUGCUUCCUGGGUUUUUAAAUUGGACAUAGAGUCCAUACCUUAGGCAGCGAGUCUGAGUGAAGGA
rfam:Alicyclobacillus acidoterrestris ATCC 49025 contig_19, whole genome shotgun sequence.